GAUUAUACCGAAAAGAAGUUCUAGAGAAAUUAAUAGAAAAAUGUGUUUCUAAAGGCUACGUCUUCCAGAUGGAGAUGAUUGUUCGGGCAAGACAGUUGAAUUAUACUAUUGGCGAGGUUCCAAUAUCAUUUGUGGAUCGUGUUUAUGGUGAAUCCAAGUUGGGAGGAAAUGAAAUAGUAUCUUUCUUGAAAGGAUUAUUGACUCUUUUUGCUACUACAUAAAAGAAAGAUACUCAUUUAUAGUUACGUUCAUUUCAGUUUAAACAUGAAAGAAGCCUGGUUACUGAUUUGUAUAAAAUGUACUCUUAAAGUGUAAAAUAUAAGGUAAGGUAAAUUUCAUGCAUCUUUU
rnacentral:lncRNA from 1 species